UACGGAGGGUGCAAGCGUUAAUCGGAAUUACUGGGCGUAAAGCGCGCGUAGGCGGUUACGCAAGUCGGUUGUGAAAAUCCGGGGCUCAACCUGGGAAUGGCAUUUGGGACUGCAAGGCUUGAGUGCGGCAGAGGAGACUGGAAUUCCUGGUGUAGCAGUGAAAUGCGUAGAUAUCAGGAGGAAUACCGAUGGCGAAGGCGGGUCUCUGGGCCGAUACUGACGCUGAGGAGCGAAAGCGUGGGGAGCAAACAGG
rnacentral:rRNA from 1 species